CCUAAAACCGAAAAGACGGGAAGAAGAGAGACGUGGAACAGAAUCAACUAAGCGGGACUCCCAGGGGUCUACAGAGGCUGAAGCAGCCACGGUGGAGCCUGCAUUGGUCUGCGCUAGGCUUGGUGAAUUUCCAGGAAGAGGGACUGAGGCCAGGGUACUCCUGGCCCAGGAAAUUGUCAAAAGUGUCAAAAGGAUGGGGAUGUUGGAGGAGCUGGAGGAAGUUGGUGUUAUCUCAGGGGGAGCUUUCUGCUGGAGCUACUGUCUGGAACGGGCUCAGAUUCUGUUUUGAAGAAGUGCGCCCAUUGUUGACUGCCCACUGCCCUGGAGGAAUACAGCAAGCAGGGCAAAUUGUAUGGCUAAGGUUGAUUUCGUCUCUGGUUAUUUGUUGCAGCAACAGGAAACUGACCAACACCAUCCUGUACACUGUGGCUCUUCCCUCUGAUGAGAAGUGUGGGGUGUGGAGCUGAAGCCUCAAUGUCUAAGACCACGUUCUACCAAUUACCCACAUAUAGACACGCUCCAAGGCCUGAUGGGAAGGGCCAUCUGUGUAUCUUGCUUAGAACAGCAGCUGGCACUGUGUGGAAGUUCGUCCCUCUGCAGCCCAUUACGGUUGCAGAGACCCCCACGGCCGGUGCGUGACGUGGGACAUGCUCAAUGUGGGACUUGACCCUUGGAAAAGUCUGGACUGCAGUUAUAUAUUGCUUGAAUGCUCUUUAGAAGGACCAUCGGGAUCCUCUGGACACACCUUGGCAGGGUGAAUCCAGUAAGGCCUAGAGCACGAAGUGCUUUGCUUCAGGGGAUCCGGCCAAAGAGACAAGAACUAGGCAAGACCUCGAGUGUGGAUCUGAUGCAGUCCUGUGCACCUCAGGUGUGGAUGGGGGUCACCGUGCUACAGAUGAGCCAGCCUCCCCAGAAAGCGGCUUCUCUUGCUACGGGGAACCACCUGAAGGAAAGAGAUGCUUUCUCUGCUAUGGGGAUACAACUGUCUGCUGUCAUAGCCCCAGGAACAACGAGAGAGGAAGCCUUAGCAGAACAGGACAGCAAACCCAGACCCAGCUGGGGCCUAGGAGCUACUGCAACUCCCCACUGUCUGUGGAAAGAGCUGGGGGGAGGGUGAGAGCCAGUGUGGAAUUAGUUGGAGUGACAGGAGACAAGUGUGAGCAGUGUGGGUUAUUAAUAGGGACGAGGACAUAUAUUUACAACCAGUGACCCCCAGUGAAGGUUAGAACAGUUACCUAGAUGUAUCUGAGACCCACACAGAAGACACCCCAAGCUUGCAAAGUGAGCUUUCUCAUCCCAGAGUCCCUUAGGCCAAGGGGCUUGGGCAACAGAAGCAAGAACCUUGACUGUGUCUGUGUGUGUGUGUGUGUGUGUGUUUGCUCAGGCUGUGUGCUGCUGUUCUAGGGGAGGGAGGGAGAGAAGAGGAAGAGGAAGAAACCGAGGAAGAGGGGAGGGUGCUAAACGUAAGCUUAGCCAGCUGGCUCUGUGGUUUCCAUUCUCCCUUCUACCUCCAGCUUCGUGGGGGAGUAAACUGUCCCCUUUAAGUGACAUUUUUCUUGUUCCAUCCUGGCUUGGAAGAUUUGGGCCUUGAAACCUGAAGGCAAAUAAAACACAUACUCUGGUCUGCCUCCUAAGAGUGGGUACAGGGUGUUAGGGGCAGGUACGAUCACUAGUCAGGGAGCAUGAGGUGGGUCAGAUCUGACAGGUGGCCCAGCUUGUCCCCACACUGGCAGAAUUUAGUUGCUGAGGACCCUAAGGUGGGAGGGGAGGGCUGGGUCCGGGGUGUGCUGUCCUGUAGGUUUGGGGGGCAGGGAAGGGUGGGUUCUGGGAUUAAGGCUGGUCGGAAGGUGUGACACCACAGUUGGCUUCUAGUCUGGCUGGGUUUGGGUUAAAAGGCUGCAGAGCAAUUCAGUCCCUCCCAUUCGUGUGACGUUCUGAAAGGGGCCUCUGGAGUACACGGUGAUUUUCACAGAGCUCAGCUAUGGCAGGUCAAGCUGCUUUUGUCGAAACCCUAGGACGGGUCAGAGGUUGCUGAGUUCCCGUUCUGAUCCUGUUCAUACCACUCCUUUUCCUGAACUGCUCUGUGUCUUAGUCAGGGUUUGACUGCUGUGAACAGAUGCCAUGACCAAGGCAAGUCUUAUAAGGACAACAUUUAAUUGGGGCUGGCUUACAGGUUCAGAGGCUCAGUCCAUUAUCAUCAUGGUAGGAAGCAUGGCAGCAUCAGGCAGGCAUGGUGCAGGCAGAGCUGAGAGUUCUACAUCUUCAUCUGAAGGCUGCCAGGACAAGACUCACAUCCAGGCAUCUAGGACAAGGGUAUUAAAAAGCCCACGACCAUAGUGACACACCCACUCCAACAAGGCCACACCUGUUGGCAUCAGGACCUCCCAAACCUAUGACAUCACAUAGGCGACAGCGUGACCUGCAGACCUGUUGCCAACAGGCACCGUAGUCCCAGAAUCCACUUGGCUCACCUACUACCUUUACCUGUGUUACAUCAUUUUCCAUAUAAAUAAGGGGAACGCCCCUCCCCCCUCUCUUUCCCCCUUCUCUUUCUUUUCUGCCACCACUUUCCCCCACCCCCACCCCUCCCAAUAAACCUCUCACAUGUGAAACGGUUUGGGCCCAGUGUGCUGUGUAGAGACAUGAGCAGCUAUUUUAACACAUCAACACCCACUCCAACAAGGCCACACCUCCAAAUAGUGCCACUCCCUGGGCCAAUCAUAUACAAACCAUCACACUCUGUGUCCCACUUUUAAUUGGAGUUAAUAAAAGUACUUCCUACAUAGAGUUUUGGUGAUCAGAAAAGUAUGUGACAUGUUUGGUACCGGCCUGACACACCGACUGGGUGCCCUCCAGAAGGUGAAUUUUUCUAUCAUUCCUCACCAACUCCAGCAAUUUUUUUUUCACCAAGACAAAGGCAGUAGGUAAUAGCAGAUAAAGUAGGUGAUAUUUGAUAAAGCUCAGCUUAAGACAGAAUGAGCACUCUCAAAGGGUGCUCACUUGCAAACUUGUUUUUGCUGCUGUAACCAAACACUAUAAGCUGAGUAAUUUGUAAAGAAUGAAGGCCGAGUCAGCUCGAGCUUCUGAAGACUGAGCAACUCAUGGUAAGUGAGCCACAUUGGUGACUUUCUGACUUGUGGAGACUGUGCAGUGUCCCAAGGACAUCACAUGGGGAAGACAGUCAAUGUGUCAGAGAGGGCGGGCUGGUCUUUACAGCAAAGCCUCUCCCUUGGUGGCCCAUCGAUGUCUGAGUGAACUAACCUACCCUUCGUCUCCAAAUGCCAGCUAGCGUGUCACUCAGAGGGGGAGCCAGGACUAUUCUCAUCUGCUCCUCCAGGGAGAAGAGGUGUGUGGAAAUGGCCACGCGUGAGUAGGGGAGAAAAAUGACAAUUCAAAAAGCUGCAAUCCAUCAAUAAUUGCAGAGUGGCUUCUAUCAAGAGAAUCUAUCCAGACUCACGCAUGUAUUUCCCAGUUUACUGACCCUCCCAGGAAUUGAACAUGUUAGACCCUCCUAUAAACUUGACUGCGUUAGGGGAUUUACUUCCGGAUCUCCGUCCCCAGGACUGUCUGGAUGCUCCUUGAACAGUACCAUCUCAUCCCUUUCCCAAGACCUUAAAUGUGCACAGUGUCUCCCUUUACAAUGUAGUCACAGCCCCUUGCAAAUCACUGGAUGUCCAAAACUAAAACACAGGAGGCUUUUCCCUCCACGGUCUUCACUUCAAGGAUAAACAGAUGGCACCUGCCCAAGGUCAUGUAGCUGCCUCGCUAUUUUUUCAAAUUGCUCCAGUUUGCCUAAUAUUAAACUUCAAAUUAAAAUGAAACAAAAAUGGUCUGGUGGGGCACAUUGGCACACGCCUGUAAUCCCAAGACUUGGGCAGUUGAGGCAGCGAGAUAAUGAGAGGCCAGUAUGGCCUACCCAGUAAGAUCUUGCUUCAAAACCACAAAUGA